rnacentral:rRNA from 1 species
AGACCCGAAACCCGGUGAUCUAGCCAUGGGCAGGUUGAAGGUUGGGUAACACUAACUGGAGGACCGAACCGACUAAUGUUGAAAAAUUAGCGGAUGACCUGUGGCUGGGGGUGAAAGGCCAAUCAAACCGGGAGAUAGCUGGUUCUCCCCGAAAGCUAUUUAGGUAGCGCCUCGUGAAUUCAUCUCCGGGGGUAGAGCACUGUUUCGGCUAGGGGGCCAUCCCGGCUUACCAACCCGAUGCAAACUGCGAAUACCGGAGAAUGUUAUCACGGGAGACACACGGCGGGUGCUAACGUCCGUCGUGAAGAGGGAAACAACCCAGACCGCCAGCUAAGGUCCCAAAGUCAUGGUUAAGUGGGAAACGAUGUGGGAAGGCCCAGACAGCCAGGAUGUUGGCUUAGAAGCAGCCAUCAUUUAAAGAAAGCGUAAUAGCUCACUGGUCGAGUCGGCCUGCGCGGAAGAUGUAACGGGGCUAAACCAUGCACCGAAGCUGCGGCAGCGACGCUGAUGCGUUGUUGGGUAGGGGAGCGUUCUGUAAGCCUGCGAAGGUGGCCUGUGAGGGUUGCUGGAGGUAUCAGAAGUGCGAAUGCUGACAUAAGUAACGAUAAAGCGGGUGAAAAGCCCGCUCGCCGGAAGACCAAGGGUUCCUGUCCAACGUUAAUCGGGGCAGGGUGAGUCGACCCCUAAGGCGAGGCCGAAAGGCGUAGUCGAUGGGAAACGGGUUAAUAUUCCCGUACUUGGUGUUACUGCGAAGGGGGGACGGAGAAGGCUAUGUUGGCCGGGCGACGGUUGUCCCGGUUUAAGCGUGUAGGUGUGUGUUCCAGGUAAAUCCGGUUCACUUUAACACUGAGGCGUGAUGACGAGGCACUACGGUGCUGAAGCAACA